CAUAAGGGAGCUUGACUGCGAGACCUACAAGUCGAGCAGGGUCGAAAGACGGACUUAGUGAUCCGGUGGUUCCGCAUGGAAGGGCCAUCGCUCAACGGAUAAAAGCUACCCCGGGGAUAACAGGCUUAUCUCCCCCAAGAGUUCACAUCGACGGGGAGGUUUGGCACCUCGAUGUCGGCUCAUCGCAUCCUGGGGCUGUAGUCGGUCCCAAGGGUUGGGCUGUUCGCCCAUUAAAGCGGUACGCGAGCUGGGUUCAGAACGUCGUGAGACAGUUCGGUCCCUAUCCGUCGUGGGCGUAGGAAAUUUGAGAGGAGCUGUCCUUAGUACGAGAGGACCGGGAUGGACAUACCUCUGGUGUACCAGUUGUCGUGCCAACGGCAUAGCUGGGUAGCUAUGUGUGGACGGGAUAAGUGCUGAAAGCAUCUAAGCAUGAAGCCCCCCUCAAGAUGAGAUUUCCCAACUUCGGUUAUAAGAUCCCUCAAAGAUGAUGAGGUUAAUAGGUUCGAGGUGGAAGCAUGGUGACAUGUGGAGCUGACGAAUACUAAUCGAUCGAAGACUUAAUCAAAUU
rnacentral:rRNA from 1 species